CUGAAUAGAUUUCUAACUCGUGUGCAAAGAAAGUAAACUGGUGUGUGGCAGCCAUUUUGAGGAUCAGGAAGAAACAGAAUGUCUGUGGCUGGUGAUAAGAAACCGCAAUGAGCACAGGAGGCAGAUUUGGCUUGAGAGGGAGCCCUGGGGAGGAACAGGUGAUAGGCCCAGGGGCUCCUGGUUAAUAAAAAUGACUCCUGCCAAGUCCACCUCCUAGGGUUCAAAGGAGAUGCACGAGUGGAAUCACUACCUGGGUCACAUGUGAGCUGUCUUCUGCAUCCUGCCCCCGUGGGAUAUGCUUUUUCCAGGUCCUGCAUUGGGUAACGUGGUCCAUUUCAGCCGUGGUGCCAAGUUCAACUGUCCAACUGCAGCUUUGCUGGCAAUAAAACUGGCUUCCUUAGAAUUAUU
rnacentral:lncRNA from 1 species